rnacentral:rRNA from 1 species
AUUGAACGCUGGCGGCAUGCUUUACACAUGCAAGUCGAACGGUAACAGGUUAAGCUGACGAGUGGCGAACGGGUGAGUAAUGCAUCGGAACGUGCCCGGUCGUGGGGGAUAACGCAGCGAAAGCCGCGCUAAUACCGCAUACGAUCUAAGGAUGAAAGCGGGGGACCGUAAGGCCUUGUGCGAUCGGAGCGGGAGAUGUCAGAUUAGGUAGUUGGUGGGGUAAAGGGUCACCAAGCCAACGAUCUGUAGCUGGUCUGAGAGGACGACCAGCCACACUGGUACUGAGACACGGCCCAGACACCUACGGGAGGCAGCAGUGGGGAAUUUUGGACAAUGGGCGAAAGCCUGAUCCAGCAAUGCCGCGUGCAGGAAGAAGGCCUUCGGGUUGUAAACUGCUUUUGUACGGAGCGAAAAGGUCUCCUCUAAUACAGGGGGCUCAUGACGGUACCGUAAGAAUAAGCACCGGCUAACUACGUGCCAGCCGCCGCCGUAA